UCAUCUCCGGGGGUAGAGCACUGUUUCGGCAAGGGGGUCAUCCCGACUUACCAACCCGAUGCAAACUGCGAAUACCGGAGAAUGUUAUCACGGGAGACACACGGCGGGUGCUAACGUCCGUCGUGAAGAGGGAAACAACCCAGACCGCCAGCUAAGGUCCCAAAGUCAUGGUUAAGUGGGAAACGAUGUGGGAAGGCCCAGACAGCCAGGAUGUUGGCUUAGAAGCAGCCAUCAUUUAAAGAAAGCGUAAUAGCUCACUGGUCGAGUCGGCCUGCGCGGAAGAUGUAACGGGGCUAAACCAUGCACCGAAGCUGCGGCAGCGACGCUUAUGCGUUGUUGGGUAGGGGAGCGUUCUGUAAGCCUGUGAAGGUGUGCUGUGAGGCAUGCUGGAGGUAUCAGAAGUGCGAAUGCUGACAUAAGUAACGAUAAAGCGGGUGAAAAGCCCGCUCGCCGGAAGACCAAGGGUUCCUGUCCAACGUUAAUCGGGGCAGGGUGAGUCGACCCCUAAGGCGAGGCCGAAAGGCGUAGUCGAUGGGAAACAGGUUAAUAUUCCUGUACUUGGUGUUACUGCGAAGGGGGGACGGAGAAGGCUAUGUUGGCCGGGCGACGGUUGUCCCGGUUUAAGCGUGUAGGCUGGUUUUCCAGGCAAAUCCGGAAAAUCAAGGCUGAGGCGUGAUGACGAGGCACUACGGUGCUGAAGCAACAAAUGCCCUGCUUCCAGGAAAAGCCUCUAAGCAUCAGGUAACAUCAAAUCGUACCCCAAACCGACACAGGUGGUCAGGUAGAGAAUACCAAGGCGCUUGAGAGAACUCGGGUGAAGGAACUAGGCAAAAUGGUGCCGUAACUUCGGGAGAAGGCACGCUGAUAUGUAGGUGAAGCGACUUGCUCGUGGAGCUGAAAUCAGUCGAAGAUACCAGCUGGCUGCAACUGUUUAUUAAAAACACAGCACUGUGCAAACACGAAAGUGGACGUAUACGGUGUGACGCCUGCCCGGUGCCGGAAGGUUAAUUGAUGGGGUUAGCGCAAGCGAAGCUCUUGAUCGAAGCCCCGGUAAACGGCGGCCGUAACUAUAACGGUCCUAAGGUAGCGAAAUUCCUUGUCGGGUAAGUUCCGACCUGCACGAAUGGCGUAAUGAUGGCCAGGCUGUCUCCACCCGAGACUCAGUGAAAUUGAACUCGCUGUGAAGAUGCAGUGUACCCGCGGCAAGACGGAAAGACCCCGUGAACCUUUACUAUAGCUUGACACUGAACAUUGAGCCUUGAUGUGUAGGAUAGGUGGGAGGCUUUGAAGUGUGGACGCCAGUCUGCAUGGAGCCGACCUUGAAAUACCACCCUUUAAUGUUUGAUGUUCUAACGUUGACCCGUAAUCCGGGUUGCGGACAGUGUCUGGUGGGUAGUUUGACUGGGGCGGUCUCCUCCUAAAGAGUAACGGAGGAGCACGAAGGUUGGCUAAUCCUGGUCGGACAUCAGGAGGUUAGUGCAAUGGCAUAAGCCAGCUUGACUGCGAGCGUGACGGCGCGAGCAGGUGCGAAAGCAGGUCAUAGUGAUCCGGUGGUUCUGAAUGGAAGGGCCAUCGCUCAACGGAUAAAAGGUACUCCGGGGAUAACAGGCUGAUACCGCCCAAGAGUUCAUAUCGACGGCGGUGUUUGGCACCUCGAUGUCGGCUCAUCACAUCCUGGGGCUGAAGUAGGUCCCAAGGGUAUGGCUGUUCGCCAUUUAAAGUGGUACGCGAGCUGGGUUUAGAACGUCGUGAGACAGUUCGGUCCCUAUCUGCCGUGGGCGCUGGAGAACUGAGGGGGGCUGCUCCUAGUACGAGAGGACCGGAGUGGACGCAUCACUGGUGUUCGGGUUGUCAUGCCAAUGGCACUGCCCGGUAGCUAAAUGCGGAAGAGAUAAGUGCUGAAAGCAUCUAAGCACGAAACUUGCCCCGAGAUGAGUUCUCCCUGAC
rnacentral:rRNA from 1 species